GGAGGGGACGGCGAGCGGGCACCAGGGCCCAGGCUGCAGCGGCCACUCCUGGGAGGGCAGCGGCCGUUCCCGCGGGCAGCCCCUGCCAUGCACACGGGAAGUUUUUCAUUUCUGGGCAACUUCUGUUCGCCAGCGGGACGACGCCUCCUCGUCACCUGCCCAGAUUCCCGCUGAGAUGAUGGCCAGAAGCCAACGGCCCUGCACCCCCGUUUCCCUUUUCCAGGGCAUGACAGCGUCUCGUGAGGUGACAGGAAAAUGCAGCCUUCUCCCCGAACCCCGACAGCGUUUCGGUGGUAAAUCCAGGAAGGCCGUGGACGCCUCAGAGGCGGGCGGUGGUCCCAGAGAAGGAAGGACACUUGCACAUGGCGGGCGUCAGCGCAGACACUCGGGGGAAGCAGCAUCACACCGCUGAGCCCGCCGACGUCCCAGGAGCCAGUGCCAGACAGAGCUGGGCCUGGAGUGCCCGGCCCCUCACAGCUGCCUCGUGCAGUCUGCGCCAGGCCCCACACCCAAGCCUGCCUGCAGCGGCAGCCGCACCAGGAACGACCCAGACUCGCCCAUCGCACCGUGCAGCAGCUCCCCCCGCCCCCCCGGCCUUGGAGCUGCGAGCAGAGUCCCCAGGCCACGCGGAGACCUCGGGCCGCAGCACAGACCCUUCACUUCACUGGCAGCCCGAUCACUGGGCUCCAGACCCCGAGAAAGCCGCGCGCCACCGCCAGCAGGCUCCACUGGAAGUGGAAACAUCAUUUUUCCUUCCGUCCAUCGCAGCGCAGUCUGGAGCUGCCUCCGAUAAUUAAUCCACGGAGAGAAAUCAAUACACAACCGGCGGGAGCUGAAACGAGCCACAGCCCAAUAAACUGGCGGCAUCGCAGCCGGCCCCGCUGCAGGUGCAGGGUCUGGGCUCGCGCGCCGCCGCCUGCCCGGCGAGGCGCCUCCGAGGGGCUCACCUUGGGCCACCCUCUGCUAGGAACGCCGUCUGCUGGCUUCCUCCUCUCAGGGACAGUCCCCAACGCCACGGCUGCAGGUGAGACGGCGAAGGAUGUGAGCGACUCGCGAGCGAGAGGGAAGCUGGGGUCCGUCCCGUGGGCCGGCUCUCUGGGUUUGUCUGGCUUGGGUUUGUGCAGGCUUUUUCUUCCUAGCGGCACUUGGCUUCCCAAAGCCCAAGCCGAAGGACGGCGAACACCAG
rnacentral:lncRNA from 1 species